rnacentral:lncRNA from 1 species
GGCUUUUCCACCUGGACAAUCCCUCCCUCCCCAGGUGGAAGGUGAGGGGGUUCUGCUUCUCCCUGGGCAGAAGCAGCACCACAGCCCCUUUGUCCCCUUUGCCAGAGGCUUCAAGGGGCAGCGUCCCCCAGUGCCCCCCGAGCAAGCUCCCCAUCUGACAAGGGAGGCCCUAGCUCAUCCCAGAAGCAUCAGAGUCAUCCUUCACACUCACCACCAUGCUGAGCACCCAGAGGGGCUCAUGCCUCCAGUGUCAGACAGGAUUGAGAUCCAGGCUGUCUGGCUCCGGGGUCUUAGCCCUGACACUCGACUUCAGAGGGAGUUCUUGCCUGGGAGUGCCUUCAAAGCAGAAUCCCUGGACACUUUCCCCUGCGACGUUUAGUCCUUUAAGGAGGCCGUAAGCACGUUGACCUGCCCCAGAGCCAGUUGUGCCCUCACGUCCCUCAGGACGGCCCACCAUGGCCAAGCACAGGCCAGAGAACAGCCUUGUUGGCGUCAAGACUGUUGGCAUCAGGGUCCUGCUUGUCAGGUUAGGAACGUGGUUCCUUUACCUGCACCUCCAGGUGAUGCUGUCUCCAUCCUUAGAACCUGAAGGCCUAGGUUCCUAAAAGUAGUAGCAGCAGCAGUAGUAGUAGCAGUAAUAGUAGGAGAAGGAGGAGCUGAAGACCUCACAAUAAUCAUUGCCCAACCGCGUGAACCAGCCCAUCUUAAGCAUGGACCACACACUGUCGAAUUCUCACACCUCUUUUUGGAGCGGGUUCUCUCAAUUAUCCCAUUUACAGACAAAGAAUCUGAGACUCCAAGGGGCUAAAUGAUUUGCUCAAAGUCAGGGUAAGUGUGAGAACUGGAGCCGAAACCCAGCCUGCUGGACCUGAGCCCCUGACUCUCAACCUUAAGCCACGCUGUCUCCCAUGGAUCCCUCCAGGGCCACGCAGUUGGUGCUCAAUAAUUGCAUACUGCGUGGAGGUGAGCUGGGCUCUGGGUGUGGCCAGGUGGUGUCCCUGGAGGGCUCAGCAUACCUUUCUCAGGUAGGUGGUAUUAGGCAGUGGGCUCAUGUGGUCCUGAUUCAGAGGCGGAGAAUGGGAGUGUUUCAGGGGUGCAGGUAUGAGCCUGGUCCUAGCACACAUCUCUAGGUGGGGACAGACUCCUCUCAGCCAGCCCAUUGCCCAGUGAUAGUUCCUUUGCACUGAUGCUGUCACACCCUUGUCCUUCUGGGGGAUUAAACUCUGCCCUCUGGGUGUGUUCAUGGGCAGCUCAGUAAUACAAAGAAGUCAUUCAUAAGUUUACUUUGCUUUCGACUGCCCUUUCAUGGUAACGUUGGUUCAAGGGAAUCCUGUGAUUCCCCAAAUGUGGGGAGCAAAUCGAGUCACCAUGAGUCACCUCCCCAGGCUGAUGUCUUCUCUGGCAUGUGUGGCCACGGGGGAGCCAGGAUGGGUCUCCUUCCUCACUCCAUCUGCUCGCUGGGUCUUGGUCUCAGGUGCCUCUUCCCUUCACUGCCUGUCUUUUAUUCCUCUCUCUACCCUCUCCUCAUGCAGAAAUUGGGAUUUCUCAUACAGAGAAAUGGAGUGAUUGCUCCUGAUUGCACAGCCGGGAGGGCUGUACACUGGAGCCCCUCCUGCUGCAAUUAACUUAUUUCCACCCCUGCGGUGUGCGGUUCCUGGAGCAACGCCUGCUACCUGCUUCUCUGCCCCAUCCUCUGUGAGGAAGGGUCCAUGCUGUUCCUUUUUCUGUCCCAAAAAUGUGCUCAUGUGCCCCAAGUUGUGUGAACCACUGACUCUGUGCUCCUUCCAGGCCCUGACCAGUGUGUUUGAGCAUUAAAGCUCGCAGGUGCAUCAAAGGUGCUCAGUAAAUGCUGGAUAAAUCAAUCCAUGCUUUCCUGGGCUCUCCUGGUGGGCAUGCAUUCUUUUAGCUAAGCGUCCCUGCCAGGGUAGUGGUUGGUUUCCAUGAGGCCAGAGGGGGAAAAGCUGGUUGACCCCUAUCCUGGGCAUUCAGAGUCAUUUCCCGCUCCUUUCUGUGGCUGGAACCAGAAGAAUAUAUCUCAGGUCUAAUAGGGUAUGGACUGCAUAAAGCCUGGGAUCUUUGUGCAUUCUAUUCAUGACAAUGUCUCUAGCCUGUUGAACAGCCCAUAGUAGGCACUCAGCAAACCAAUAGGAACUGAGGGGGUCAAGGAAAUGCCCUGUGAUCCCCCCGAAUCCAAUCCCUCUGUCUUUGCCCACCUUUCCUCCGUUAAAACACAGCCUAUAUCAAUGAGGGCCUGGGAGAAAACUGGGGUGGGGGAGGACUGUGCCUCUCUUGAACUUCAUUUACAAAAAAUAAGUUGGCUCCUAGACCAGUGUUGGAGCCACACUUCCCGGGACAGCCCUAAAGCAGCCAAGUCCCCACCUUUCAGGAGUCGGCCAAGAGCAUGGUGGCUGCAGAAGACCCUGGCUGAUGGAGAUAACAUUUGACAAACAGGUGCUUUUCCAAUUAUGGAUAACAACAGAAAAGCAGUCAUUGGCUUCUAAAAGGUCAUCAAGAUAUAAAGCCCAUUUGGGAAGGGAAUGACUUACGCAGUGGGCUUGUAUAAAUCUGGAGAAGUUUUAUGCACAAGUCAGACAAGAAAUGUGUUCUACAUACGGCUCGGGAGCCAGCAAGUGCUUAUGAAGCCCCUUCACAUGGCCAGUAGCGUCCUAAGGGCCCGGCGACAAUUAGUCAUGGCGUCAUCGAACGCCAGGCUGGAGGAGGUCUUGGAUGCCGCAGCUCCUUUUGAAUUUCAAAGACGUUCAAAUCCCCAUCUGGCUGUUACACUUUUAGGCUAUUGAGAGUGAAAACAAGCACUGACAUGAACACCCAACCAGCUGCUGGUGACAUUGUCCCCUUCUGAGAUCUGAGGACAUGAACACCCAACCACCUGCCGGUGACAUUGUCCCCUUCUGAGAUCUGAGGACAUGAACACCCAACCACCUGCCGGUGACAUCGUCCCCUUCUGAGAUCUGAGGACAUGGACACCCACCCACCUGCCGGUGACAUUGUCCCCUUCUGAGAUCUGAGGACAUGAACACCCAACCACCUGCCGGUGACAUCGUCCCCUUCUGAGAUCUGAGGACAUGGACACCAAACCACCUGCCGGUGACAUCGUCCCCUUCUGAGAUCUGAGGACAUGAACACCCAACCACCUGCCGGUGACAUCGUCCCCGUCUGAGAUCUGAGGACAUGGAUACCCAACCACCUGCCAGUGACAUCGUCUCCUUCUGAGAUCUGAGGACAUGGACACCCAACCACCUGCCGGUGACAUCGUCCCCUUCUGAGAUCUGAGGACAUGAACACCCAACCACCUGCCGGUGACAUCGUCCCCUUCUGAGAUCUGAGGACAUGAACACCCAACCACCUGCCGGUGACAUCGUCCCCUUCUGAGAUCUGAGGACAUGGAUACCCAACCACCUGCCGGUGACAUCGUCCCCUUCUGAGAUCUGAGGACAUGAACACCCAACCACCUGCCGGUGACAUCGUCCCCUUCUGAGAUCUGAGGACAUGGAUACCCAACCACCUGCCAGUGACAUCGUCUCCUUCUGAGAUCUGAGGACAUGGACACCCAACCUGCUGCCGGUGACAUCGUCCCCUUCUGAGAUCUGAGGACAUGGACACCCAACCACCUGCCAGUGACAUCGUCUCCUUCUGAGAUCUGAGGACAUGGGCACCCAACCUGCUGCCGGUGACAUCGUCUCCUUCUGAGGUCUGAGGACAGACACUCACAUGGACACCUAAACACCUGCCGAUGAUAUUGUCUCCUGAAAUCUGAGGACAUGGACACCCAACCUGCUGCCAGUGACAUCGUCCCCUUCUGAGAUCUGAGGACAUGGACACCAAACCACCUGCUGGUGACAUCGUCUCCUUCUGAGAUCUGAGGACAUGGACACCCAACCUGCUGCCGGUGACAUUGUCCCCUUCUGAGAUCUGAGGACAUGGACACCCAACCACCUGCUGGUGACAUCGUCUCCUUCUGAGAUCUGAGGACAGACACAUAGACGCCCAAUCAGCUGCUGGUGACAUUGUCUCCUUCUGAAAUCUGAGGGUUGGAACACAUUGGGCUGGCUCAGUGUUUCUCCAUGUGGUUUUGAGACCACCUGAGUUGGAACCGAUAUGGGUUCCCAGCCUCACGCCUGGAGAGCUGGAUUUUGCGAGUGUGAGGUUAGGUCCAGCAUCUGCAUGUGUAAUGAGCUCCCAGGUGUUUCGUAGAUGCAUUAGGGCUUGAGAAGCUCCUUUCUAGCACCAUCUUCCUUUUUGCACAUGAGGGCGUUCAGGUCCAGAGAAAUAAAGCAGCAAGGUUGGUGGC